UACGGAGGGGGCUAGCGUUGUUCGGAAUUACUGGGCGUAAAGCGCACGUAGGCGGACUGGAAAGUCAGAGGUGAAAGCCCGGGGCUCAACCCCGGAAUAGCCUUUGAGACUGGAUUGCUUGAAUCCAGGAGAGGUGAGUGGAAUUCCGAGUGUAGAGGUGGAAUUCGUAGAUAUUAGGAAGAACACCAGUGGCGAAGGCGGCUUACUGGUCCGGAACUGACGCUGAGGUGCGAAAGCGUGGGGAGCAAACAGG
rnacentral:rRNA from 1 species